UUCUGUGUAUAUGGGUACUGCAGAGAAACAUUGUCCUGAUUGUUACUGAUUAUGAUUUUUCAGGCAUCUAGUUUGGCCAAUGCUCUGGAGGUUAGCAGCUGUUCAACUGCAGUUACAGACUGGUACAACCACAGUGGAAAUCAAUCUAGCAGUUCCUCAGAAAAUUAGAAGCAGCUCUACCUGAAGACGCAGCUAUCCCACUUUAAUGAGGAUAUCAUGAAUUUUGCAGGCAAAUGGCU